GAGUGAAUCAUUACUUUUUGAUAGACAAUUCGUAGGGGGUUUUGAAUUUGAGAUCUGUUUUUGGUUAAUGUUUUUCUUGUUCGAUUACUCGAAACUUAAUUGUUUAAUUGCUAUUAAUAGUAGAUAAAUUGUUUAAUUGUUUAGUUGCUAUUAUCCGGCAAUUGGCUCUAAUAGAAUUUGUAAUUUGUUUUGCAUAGAACACCCUCACAGGGAAUGUGCACAAAUAAUAGAGAUUUCCAUAGGCACUUUGUGGGAGUAAUUGCAUAAUUUCACAUAUUUGCAAAGAUGUAUAUUUGCAAAAAUUUUCAAAGUAAUGUAGGAUACAACAUAUGUACAUACAUAGCUAAAGCUUUUUGGUUCCAAGUCAACUUCCUAUAAUACACUAUUGGCUAAAGAAACUAUUCAAAACGCUAAGAAGAAAGUGUCAAAAUUGUUGUUUAUUCAGAUCCUAGUGUUUUUAUUUGCCUUACCUUGAAAUUUGAUGGUUCAUUGCAAACUGGAAGUUGCAGUGAAAUAGAGACAUUAUCAAGAUGAAAUGUAUUUGCACACUAUCAGUUAUUUAUUGAUCCAAUGAAGAAAGUUCACACUUGAAACCGGAAGGGCCAUUUUUCUCCCGGUAUUUUGAAUAGCACUUGCAAAUAGGGAGAUGCGUUCAUACUUUUUUUAGUAGAUAAUAGGCGGAGGAUUGCGUUUGGGUAUUUGGUUGCAAUGUUGCAUCAAAAGAAAGACGCUCUUCAUUGGUUGGCAUGAAUUGUAUGGAUAUUGAGAGCAGGCCCGGAGUGUUUGCUGUAUUUGAUUCGGCUUGUUGAACACUCAGAUUAGCUCGAGUUGGUUUUUGACCCGAACUUCCUAACCCUACUCUGAAUUAUGAUAUGGUUAAGUUAGAAAUUCAUCAGAAGGUAGAGCUUGUAAUGAGUCUUUUGUACUAAUCUUUUAUCCGCCUUCUUCUAAGUAUGGUGGUUCUUGGGGAGUAGUUACCGUUAGUAGUCAACAGUACACUAGUUUAAUAAGAAAAUUAUUGACCGAAACAUGCAAGUAGACUGCCCAUCAUCUCACUAUGCCUUUUCAUUUGCUAGUAGACUCAUGAUAAACCUUCCAUAUGAUUCUUUGGCGUAUUUCUUUCUUUUCUGCAACUGUGCUAUUGUCACAUGUAUCUAGAGUUUGAUAGAACUACAAUAGGAAACACAUUUAAAAUGCCAUUCUCCUCGAUUGUUGGUGUGUACUAAAUCUUAAUUUGUUUAAAUCAUCAGGCACUCCUAAUGUGAAUCAUUUGCUGAAGCUUUUUUGAUAGCUAGGACUUGUAUUUAUAUAAAUGGCUAUCGGUAAUAGUAAUUCGGGAAACAGGGCUCUGUAUUUUUAGGGGUCCAUGUGAUUGCCAAAGGCCAUGCCUGUAGAAUUUGCUGAAAUGUACAAUUAUAUUGCAGAUGCUUAUGGUUAUGCUGUUCUUUUGCAACAAUUUAUGCGAACUACAUGUGGCACUUGUGACAGUCAGCAUGCAUGUUUUUACUUUAUUUGCUCUGAAGAGAGUUCAGUGACAUGUGAAAAUUUCAUAGAUCUACUUUAUUUGGUACUGUUUUUACUUUAUUUGCCCACAAAUGCAUGCUCCAAACCAUAUCCCACCAAUUCAAUCUGCAUCUCUCCAAAUCCCCAUAAGAAGAUAUAUAAUUAAUAAUUACAUAGAUUGGACUUAAUAAGAUAGUUUAGUUUAUCUUCUAUUAAGUAUUAGAUAUGUUGUUCUAAAUUGAUUUGAUCACCAAGAUCACAUCCUCCAAAUAUGUAGUCUAGAAAUUAACAUUACCUUGUUACACCUUAUCCCAGAGCGGAUUUUACAAAUUGAGAGUUUGAGAUCUCUCGUCUUCGUGAAUUUGAAGCACGUCUCGAAACUUCUUUUUGAUAUUGUCCUGUCCAACCGACCGUCCCUAGAGCAAGUGGUAAAGGACUUGGUGGUUGGUACUCGAGACCCAAGUUCAAAUCCUAGUUGAUUCACAUUUCUAGCUAAGUUUAUUUCUAAAUGAAAUAAACGAAACGAGUAGCGUGCUACCUAUCUAUCUCUCAAAAAAAGAAAAAAAAGAAAGAAAAAAAAGAAGAAGAUAUUGUCCUGCCCAUUUUGUCACUAGCUUUGUAUUUAAUGUAAAUAGAAGAUCAUCAGUAAAAUUUUUCUAUGAUGUAGAGCCGACGAUUUUCUUAGGAGAAAAAAAAAGAAUAAACAAUCCAAUAUAUAAUAUAGAAAAUAUUGGAAAACAAAUGAGUAUCUUGCUAAUCAAAAUUUAGUCACAUAAUUUAGAGCGUAUUAAACUAGUACGUUUACUUAAUUUCUUCUCGAGAUUCUUUUGUAUUAAUUGGGCCCUACCCACGUGACAAGUCCCCUAUAAGGGCCCAUUGUACUAGAAAAGUGGGUUGAGCCCAACACACACACACACACACACACAAAGUGGGUAAAGUUCCUGCAUGUUCAUUUAUACUUUGGAAUGAAUAACUAUCCUAGGAAGAGAUAGUAAAAUUCAGCUUUGGACUGAUUGAUACUUGUUUGCAUUCGAAAGUGCUUGUUAAAUCAGAAUUCAGAUUUAUAUCCCGUAACCUUGUUUGUAUUCGAAAGUGCAGCAUCUAUUUCCUCAUUUUAUCUUGUAGUUAUGAAAAAAAUGGAAUCAUUUUGUUUUAUAAAUAAUUGCUUGUCACUUCUGAAAUAACUGAUAAAGAAAUAAUAAUACGUACAGGACAUGCCAUAGAAAUUAAUUAAUGGAUUGAAAAGAAAUAAUAAUGGGGUGAUAGGGAAAUAUUGAUGCUUAAUUAAUUUGUGUGCCCCCAAAAUGUAAGUGCUUUAGUACAUUUUGAUCGAUCAUAUAUAACACUAUUUUUUUUUUGUUUUUUUGGUACCUAUAUGGGCAAUGUUUUAGUACAUACUUUGUGAUUUUUGAGAGUUUUGAUUGAUUGAUUGAUUCGCACAUUUCAAGUGUUUCAUUAGUGCGGUGCAUGCAUUUAGAGUUGCAUUGCAGCUCUAGAUCUAAUUGCGUCGCGUGCUAGUUGUGUACUAUUUGAUAGAUUGUACAGUGAAGCCAUUUAUUUAUAUAUUAUUACUUCUGGUUUAGGGAGUUUUUAACUAAUUGGUACACAUACUUUUGAGUAUUUAUUUUGUGUGGCGCAUUUGGAGUUGCAUUAAUUUUAACUCUAGCUGUUGAUAGAUUAUAACUAAUUAAGUCCAUCACUAUAGUUGCGGCUGCAACAAAACUCAGUGUAAUACAUGAUCUUAAAAAUUUGAGGUAAAUGUGAAGAUUUAUUUGUAUCGGUAAUUGUUCUUAUCUAUCCAUUUAUUUGAUUUUAGGAUCAGUCUGUUUUAUUCAGUUAGGUUCCGGAAUUUUUUUAUAGUAGUAAGUUUGUUGAGUAGAAAGUACUUUAAUAGAUGAAAUUCAAUUUUCG
rnacentral:lncRNA from 1 species